UGUUACGAUUUUAUUAAGAAAGUAUGAAAUUGAAAACUUCAACCUGCAAUUCAUUCUCCCAUUCUCCCUCUUCAAUCUCCCUUUUCAAUAGUUCUCAUAGUCGAAGACCUCUUGACUACCUUCAUUCAGGUGUGUUACGAUUCUACCUCUCAUUAUUUCAACUAUGGAUCCAGAGUCAAUCGAAGCUUGUUUCUCACCCCGAGGCCUCAUUCGACUCUCACGCAAAUGCCAAAACCACCCCCCAUGUCCCAAACCCUAGAAAUUAGGCCUUUUAGUAUCGACGAUCUUCUCCCUUUCGAACUCGAAGCCUAACCGAGCCGCUGGACCGAUUCCUCCUCAAAGGAAUGCAUGUAGAUGUUUAUUGAGUAAUGGGGGUUGAAAUUCCUUUUAUUGUACACAAGGAGAAAGAAGAUGUCAAUUCUUCUUUUGGGACGAUAUACUUCAAUCAGUAGUACGUGAGAGUGUCAAGCAGACAAGAGAGAAUGAACUUCGAAAGAGGAAGGAUGCUUUAUUGUUGCGUGAAUAUGAAGCAUAAAAAGAGAAGGACAAACUAAUAGAGAGAGAGAGAAUAUGCUUAACAAACAAGAAGACGACCUGGGAAGAAGGAUAGUAGAGAAUAUGAUUGUACAUUUUUUGUUGUGUAUUUUUUGGUUUGAAUCUCUUGUAAGAUUUUUUGGUUGGUUCUGAAUGCCUACGUAUCAUGCUAGUUAGGCAUGUGUAAAUAACUCUAAACUCGUAGACAAACAUGUAUGAUAUAGUCUCUAACUAUGUUUAAACUUAUAUGCUUGUUGUGGAUAACAUGUGAUAUUUUCAGCAGUAGUUGUUGUAC